AGAGUUUGAUCCUGGCUCAGAUUGAACGCUGGCGGCAGGCCUAACACAUGCAAGUCGAGCGGCAGCACGGGAAGCUUGCUUCCUGGUGGCGAGCGGCGGACGGGUGAGUAAUGCAUAGGAAUCUGCCCGGUAGUGGGGGAUAACCUGGGGAAACUCAGGCUAAUACCGCAUACGUCCUACGGGAGAAAGCAGGGGCUCUUCGGACCUUGCGCUAUCGGAUGAGCCUAUGUCGGAUUAGCUAGUUGGUGAGGUAAUGGCUCACCAAGGCGACGAUCCGUAGCUGGUCUGAGAGGAUGAUCAGCCACAUCGGGACUGAGACACGGCCCGAACUCCUACGGGAGGCAGCAGUGGGGAAUAUUGGACAAUGGGGGAAACCCUGAUCCAGCCAUGCCGCGUGUGUGAAGAAGGCCUUCGGGUUGUAAAGCACUUUCAGUGAGGAAGAAGGCCUCGGGCUUAAUACGUCCGAGGGAGGACAUCACUCACAGAAGAAGCACCGGCUAACUCCGUGCCAGCAGCCGCGGUAAUACGGAGGGUGCGAGCGUUAAUCGGAAUUACUGGGCGUAAAGCGCGCGUAGGUGGCGUGAUAAGCCGGUUGUGAAAGCCCCGGGCUCAACCUGGGAACGGCAUCCGGAACUGUCAUGCUAGAGUGCAGGAGAGGAAGGUAGAAUUCCCGGUGUAGCGGUGAAAUGCGUAGAGAUCGGGAGGAAUACCAGUGGCGAAGCGGCCUUCUGGACUGACACUGACACUGAGGUGCGAAAGCGUGGGUAGCAAACAGGAUUAGAUACCCUGGUAGUCCACGCCGUAAACGAUGUCGACUAGCCGUUGGGAGCCUCGAGUUCUUAGUGGCGCAGUUAACGCGAUAAGUCGACCGCCUGGGGAGUACGGCCGCAAGGUUAAAACUCAAAUGAAUUGACGGGGGCCCGCACAAGCGGUGGAGCAUGUGGUUUAAUUCGAUGCAACGCGAAGAACCUUACCUACCCUUGACAUCUUCGGAAGCCGAGAGAGAUCUUGGUGUGCCUUCGGGAACCGAAAGACAGGUGCUGCAUGGCUGUCGUCAGCUCGUGUUGUGAAAUGUUGGGUUAAGUCCCGUAACGAGCGCAACCCCUGUCCCUAUUUGCCAGCGAUUCGGUCGGGAACUCUAGGGAGACUGCCGGUGACAAACCGGAGGAAGGUGGGGACGACGUCAAGUCAUCAUGGCCCUUACGGGUAGGGCUACACACGUGCUACAAUGGUAGGUACAAAGGGUUGCAAGACGGCGACGUGGAGCUAAUCCCAUAAAGCCUGCCUCAGUCCGGAUCGGAGUCUGCAACUCGACUCCGUGAAGUCGGAAUCGCUAGUAAUCGUGCAUCAGAAUGGCACGGUGAAUACGUUCCCGGGCCUUGUACACACCGCCCGUCACACCAUGGGAGUGGACUGCACCAGAAGUGGUUAGCUUAACCUUCGGGGGAGCGAUCACCACGGUGUGGUUCAUGACUGGGGUGAAGUCGUAACAAGGUAGCCGU
rnacentral:rRNA from 1 species